CCUACGGGUGGCAGCAGUGAGGAAUAUUGGUCAAUGGGCGCGAGCCUGAACCAGCCAAGUCGCGUGAGGGAAGACGGCCCUACGGGUUGUAAACCUCUUUUGCCGGGGAGCAACGGGCGCCACGUGUGGCGCCACUGAGAGUACCCGGAGAAAAAGCAUCGGCUAACUCCGUGCCAGCAGCCGCGGUAAUACGGAGGAUGCGAGCGUUAUCCGGAUUUAUUGGGUUUAAAGGGUGCGUAGGCGGAGCGUUACGGCAGUGGUCAAAUUGAGGGUCUCAACCCCUUCCCGCCAUUGAAACUGGCGCUCUUGAGUGGAAGAGAGGUAUGCGGAAUGCGGGGUGUAGCGGUGAAAUGCGUAGAUAUUAGGAGGAACACCAGUGGCGAAGGCGACUUUCUGGACUGUACCUGACGCUGAGGCGCGAAAGCGUGGGUAGCGAACGGGAUUAGAUACCCGUGUAGUC
rnacentral:rRNA from 1 species